UACGUAGGAGGCAAGCGUUGUCCGGAAUUACUGGGCGUAAAGCGCGUGUAGGUGGGUGGGACAAGUCUGCUGUGAAAGCGCCUGGCUUAACCGGGCGAGGUCGGCGGAACUGUUUCACUGGAGCCUUGCAGAGGGCGGUGGAAUUGCCGGUGUAGUGGUGAAAUGCGUAGAGAUCGGCAGGAACACCCAGGGAGAAAUCAGCCGCCUGGGCAAGUGCUGACGCUGAGGUGGCGAAAGCGUGGGGAGCGAACCGG
rnacentral:rRNA from 1 species